GGUUAAGCGACUAAGCGUACACGGUGGAUGCCCUGGCAGUCAGAGGCGAUGAAGGGCGUGCUAAUCUGCGAUAAGCGCCGGUAAGGUGAUAUGAACCGUUAUAACCGGCGAUACCCGAAUGGGGAAACCCAGUGUGACUCGUCACACUAUCAUUAACUGAAUCCAUAGGUUAAUGAGGCGAACCGGGGGAACUGAAACAUCUAAGUACCCCGAGGAAAAGAAAUCAACCGAGAUUCCCCCAGUAGCGGCGAGCGAACGGGGAGUAGCCCAGAGCCUGAAUCAGCAUGUGUGUUAGUGGAAGCGUCUGGAAAGGCGCGCGAUACAGGGUGACAGCCCCGUACACAAAAGCGCAUGUGCUGUGAGCUCGAUGAGUAGGGCGGGACACGUGGUAUCCUGUCUGAAUAUGGGGGGACCAUCCUCCAAGGCUAAAUACUCCUGACUGACCGAUAGUGAACCAGUACCGUGAGGGAAAGGCGAAAAGAACCCCGGCGAGGGGAGUGAAAAAGAACCUGAAACCGUGUACGUACAAGCAGUGGGAGCACCCUUUGGGGUGUGACUGCGUACCUUUUGUAUAAUGGGUCAGCGACUUAUAUUCUGUAGCAAGGUUAACCGAAUAGGGGAGCCGUAGGGAAACCGAGUCUUAAUUGGGCGUUAAGUUGCAGGGUAUAGACCCGAAACCCGGUGAUCUAGCCAUGGGCAGGUUGAAGGUUGGGUAACACUAACUGGAGGACCGAACCGACUAAUGUUGAAAAAUUAGCGGAUGACCUGUGGCUGGGGGUGAAAGGCCAAUCAAACCGGGAGAUAGCUGGUUCUCCCCGAAAGCUAUUUAGGUAGCGCCUCGUGAACUCAUCUCCGGGGGUAGAGCACUGUUUCGGCUAGGGGGCCAUCCCGGCUUACCAACCCGAUGCAAACUGCGAAUACCGGAGAAUGUUAUCACGGGAGACACACGGCGGGUGCUAACGUCCGUCGUGAAGAGGGAAACAACCCAGACCGCCAGCUAAGGUCCCAAAGUCAUGGUUAAGUGGGAAACGAUGUGGGAAGGCCCAGACAGCCAGGAUGUUGGCUUAGAAGCAGCCAUCAUUUAAAGAAAGCGUAAUAGCUCACUGGUCGAGUCGGCCUGCGCGGAAGAUGUAACGGGGCUAAACCAUGCACCGAAGCUGCGGCAGCGACACUGUGUGUUGUUGGGUAGGGGAGCGUUCUGUAAGCCUGUGAAGGUGGCCUGUGAGGGUUGCUGGAGGUAUCAGAAGUGCGAAUGCUGACAUAAGUAACGAUAAAGCGGGUGAAAAGCCCGCUCGCCGGAAGACCAAGGGUUCCUGUCCAACGUUAAUCGGGGCAGGGUGAGUCGACCCCUAAGGCGAGGCCGAAAGGCGUAGUCGAUGGGAAACGGGUUAAUAUUCCCGUACUUGGUGUUACUGCGAAGGGGGGACGGAGAAGGCUAUGUUGGCCGGGCGACGGUUGUCCCGGUUUAAGCGUGUAGGUGUGUGUUCCAGGUAAAUCCGGUUCACUUUAACACUGAGGCGUGACGACGAGGCACUACGGUGCUGAAGCAACAAAUGCCCUGCUUCCAGGAAAAGCCUCUAAGCAUCAGGUAACAUCAAAUCGUACCCCAAACCGACACAGGUGGUCAGGUAGAGAAUACCAAGGCGCUUGAGAGAACUCGGGUGAAGGAACUAGGCAAAAUGGUGCCGUAACUUCGGGAGAAGGCACGCUGACACGUAGGUGAAGUGAUUUACUCACGGAGCUGAAGUCAGUCGAAGAUACCAGCUGGCUGCAACUGUUUAUUAAAAACACAGCACUGUGCAAACACGAAAGUGGACGUAUACGGUGUGACGCCUGCCCGGUGCCGGAAGGUUAAUUGAUGGGGUCAGCGCAAGCGAAGCUCCUGAUCGAAGCCCCGGUAAACGGCGGCCGUAACUAUAACGGUCCUAAGGUAGCGAAAUUCCUUGUCGGGUAAGUUCCGACCUGCACGAAUGGCGUAAUGAUGGCCAGGCUGUCUCCACCCGAGACUCAGUGAAAUUGAACUCGCUGUGAAGAUGCAGUGUACCCGCGGCAAGACGGAAAGACCCCGUGAACCUUUACUAUAGCUUGACACUGAACAUUGAGCCUUGAUGUGUAGGAUAGGUGGGAGGCUUUGAAGUGUGGACGCCAGUCUGCAUGGAGCCGACCUUGAAAUACCACCCUUUAAUGUUUGAUGUUCUAACGUGGACCCGUAAUCCGGGUUGCGGACAGUGUCUGGUGGGUAGUUUGACUGGGGCGGUCUCCUCCUAAAGAGUAACGGAGGAGCACGAAGGUUGGCUAAUCCUGGUCGGACAUCAGGAGGUUAGUGCAAUGGCAUAAGCCAGCUUGACUGCGAGCGUGACGGCGCGAGCAGGUGCGAAAGCAGGUCAUAGUGAUCCGGUGGUUCUGAAUGGAAGGGCCAUCGCUCAACGGAUAAAAGGUACUCCGGGGAUAACAGGCUGAUACCGCCCAAGAGUUCAUAUCGACGGCGGUGUUUGGCACCUCGAUGUCGGCUCAUCACAUCCUGGGGCUGAAGUAGGUCCCAAGGGUAUGGCUGUUCGCCAUUUAAAGUGGUACGCGAGCUGGGUUUAGAACGUCGUGAGACAGUUCGGUCCCUAUCUGCCGUGGGCGCUGGAGAACUGAGGGGGGCUGCUCCUAGUACGAGAGGACCGGAGUGGACGCAUCACUGGUGUUCGGGUUGUCAUGCCAAUGGCACUGCCCGGUAGCUAAAUGCGGAAGAGAUAAGUGCUGAAAGCAUCUAAGCACGAAACUUGCCCCGAGAUGAGUUCUCCCUGAGACUUAGAGUCUCCUGAAGGAACGUUGAAGACGACGACGUUGAUAGGCCGGGUGUGUAAGCGCAGCGAUGCGUUGAGCUAACCGGUACUAAUGAACCGUGAGGCUUAACCUU
rnacentral:rRNA from 1 species